GACAAACGCUGGCGGCGUGCUUAACACAUGCAAGUCGAACGGAAAGGCCCUGCUUUUGUGGGGUGCUCGAGUGGCGAACGGGUGAGUAACACGUGAGUAACCUGCCCUUGACUUUGGGAUAACUUCAGGAAACUGGGGCUAAUACCGGAUAGGAGCUCCUGCUGCAUGGUGGGGGUUGGAAAGUUUCGGCGGUUGGGGAUGGACUCGCGGCUUAUCAGCUUGUUGGUGGGGUAGUGGCUUACCAAGGCUUUGACGGGUAGCCGGCCUGAGAGGGUGACCGGCCACAUUGGGACUGAGAUACGGCCCAGACUCCUACGGGAGGCAGCAGUGGGGAAUAUUGCACAAUGGGCGGAAGCCUGAUGCAGCAACGCCGCGUGCGGGAUGACGGCCUUCGGGUUGUAAACCGCCUUCGCCUGUGACGAAGCGUGAGUGACGGUAAUGGGUAAAGAAGCACCGGCUAACUACGUG
rnacentral:rRNA from 1 species